rnacentral:rRNA from 1 species
GUCGAACGGAUCCUUCGGGAUUAGUGGCAGACGGGUGAGUAACGCGUGGGAAGCUACCUUGUGGUAGGGAACAACAGUUGGAAACGACUGCUAAUACCCUAUGAGCCCUAUGGGGGAAAGAUUUAUCGCCAUGAGAUGUGCCCGCGUUAGAUUAGCUAGUUGGUAAGGUAAUGGCUUACCAAGGCGACGAUCUAUAGCUGGUCUGAGAGGAUGAUCAGCCACACUGGGACUGAGACACGGCCCAGACUCCUACGGGAGGCAGCAGUGGGGAAUAUUGGACAAUGGGGGCAACCCUGAUCCAGCCAUGCCGCGUGUGUGAUGACGGCCUUAGGGUUGUAAAGCACUUUCAGCAGUGAAGAUAAUGACAUUAACUGCAGAAGAAGCCCCGGCUAACUUCGUGCCAGCAGCCGCGGUAAUACGAAGGGGGCUAGCGUUGUUCGGAAUCACUGGGCGUAAAGCGUACGUAGGCGGACUGAUAAGUUAGGGGUGAAAUCCCAAGGCUCAACCUUGGAACUGCCUUUGAUACUGUCAGUCUUGAGAUCGAGAGAGGUGAGUGGAACUCCGAGUGUAGAGGUGAAAUUCGUAGAUAUUCGGAAGAACACCAGUGGCGAAGGCGGCUCACUGGCUCGAUACUGACGCUGNNNUACGAAAGCGUGGGGAGCAAACAGGAUUNGNUACCCUGGUAGU